UCCUCCUCCACACUCCUCUUUCCUCUCCCCAGCCUCAUGUUCUUCUCCCCCUUCCUGUACCUUCCAUCCCACUCCCCCUCCUCCAAUUCGACCCUCCCCUCCCGCCCCCCGCCUAAAAAUCCAGUCUUGCUUAGGGACCGUCCUUCCUCGGAAGCGGAGAUCCUCGUCGGGAGGGGAUCCCCUGUCGUCGAGCCCCGGCGCAGCGGCCUCUCCUGUACGGGCCACGUGCUUUCCUGGUUCCGGCGAGGGAGCGGGGGAGAGUGAGGAGCGCACCUGAAUGAGCUGCUUCUCCUGCUUCGGCCCGGCCCUGGAGGCGGAGGGCGGCAAGCCGGUACCCGAUGCCAAGGACCCCGCGCCAAGGAUGGCGCUGCGCCGGAUCAAGUGCGCCGGCUGGAUCUUGCAAAUCCCUCCCCACCUCUAGCCUUAGCUUUAGCUUCGCUUGGCGUUGCUCCUUGCUCUGUUACCGCGGUCGUCGCCGGUGUCGUGUUGUUGUUUAUUGUAGUACUACGCUUCUACUCUUGCUUGCUUACUGCGUGCGAGCCAUGGUUGUGGUGGGUGGAAGCAUAGGAAUGGGCUGAGCUGCGAUCUUGUGUGCUCCUUUCGCUACACUUAGUGAGGAAGAGAUCGGAAUGCAUAUGGUGCUGCUAGGAUUGUUCUUGGCUCUGGUUUAGUUAAGAGAGAGCGUUGGAUUGGAAGUUGAGUAAUCCUUUUUCUGGCAAUAAUAAAAAAUCAGCUGCUUUUAACUGAAUAAAAUGCCACGCAAGUUCAGUUAUAUCUGUUGCAGGAGUUCAAAAAUCUGAAGAAACGGAGCUCAAACCAAGUUAAAAAUUGUUUCCUUCAUAACUUAGUUGUUUUUUGGUUAAUUUGUUGUUAUGGACAGUACAAAUACACACUGUUGUGUAGUACAUGUGUGUAUUGUAAUUGUGGUUUGGAGUUCAGAAAAAGAUAACAAAAAGGUUCAUAGAAGAACCCAAAACUUUCGGUAGUUUUGUAAGCCCAAAUUUCAGUUCAACAUGUUUUCUAUCAUCAGCUCAUUAAGAACCCCAGAAACGGUUCAAUGUGUGCGUUCAAAAAAAUAGUGUGGCUAUAUAUAAAAAAAUUAGUAGCUCGGCAAAAAGAAGUUUAACCGAUUCAGUGCAAGUUUUGCUUCUGAAAAACUGAUAUUGUUCAUCAUGUACUGAUCCAUUUCAACUGUGGAUGUGUUUAAAAAAACAGAUGUUCAACAUGUACUGAAAAUGCCUUUAAAAAGAUGAGUAAAUAGCAUCAGUGAGUUCGACUACCUAUAUUGAAAAAGUCCAUUGACAAAAGAAAUAUCAGUACAGUAUGAUGCUUCAGUUAGAAGAUCACUAAUGCUAUUUCCUUCAUAGUUUCCCUGUUGUUUCAACUUUUGUUUUAACCUUUCCGUCUGUAAAUUCUGCAUCUUUUUUUGUUUACAGACUAUACGCAUGAUACUUGUACUGGGACUAGAGUACAAGUAUUACUUCCAUGCAAGUUCAAUUGGAAAAACACUUUAAGUUUCAGGAAUUGAAGGAUUCUUUUAGGAAGAAAUAGCCUUUUGAGCUACUGAUGAUGGCUGUCAUUUGUGCCCCGAAGGGCCAACGACGGUCGCCGCUCCUCGACCCUAUUCCCGUUCGUCACCCAACUCAACAGUCCACCUUGGUGCUCCAGCACCGGCCCCUCAAAGAGCUGGCUACAGGCCAUCCGUUGCUCCGCCCCUGGAUGCUGCCAUCUGGUGGCUGGUUGUCUCACUCCAAUGCACCUCCCUCUCUUUGUGUACUGUUCUCUCUCAAGACUGGAAGUUAUCCCUGAUGUACUCAACGCAAGUUCAACAUCAUCAUCUAAAAAGGAAGCAAAAAAGAAAAUCUAUUUGCUCAGGGAUGCAAGCAAAUUUCUGGAGCACAGACUCAUCGGCGCAUCAGCGACCAUUCAUUCAACAACAGUUCAAUUAUAAAAAGAACAUCAGUUCAAAAAAAUAUGCAGGAGGGUCGGGGGAGAAGCAGAAACUCUGGGUGCAUGAUGGAAAAAAUUGGAAGUUCUUGUUUAGAUGUUCAGGAUACCCUUCUCUCAUUUCAUUUAUGUUGAGGAUAGCAGGUGCAUGAUGGAAAAUUGUGUAUCAUGUAGUUCUUGUUUAGAUGUCAUGCAAGUUCAAAAAUUGUCGAUUUUGCCAUUGGAGAGAACCCGUUGGUUGCAUUGUUUUUUCAGUGUGACGUCCC